rnacentral:lncRNA from 1 species
UAAGGAAAGACAAUGAAAAAGGGUUGCAGUCUGACUAACCUCCACAUAACCCCGGGGAAUGAUGUCUGGAGUUUCAUGGACUGACUCAACCAUCAGUUAUGUGUGCAACUUUCUGCUUUCCUCUAGCAACUGGACAAGAGAAGUAGAAAUUCGCCUGCCCAUUGACGUUGCAGCUAUAAACACAGAAGAGUAGUGUAUAAAAGCAGCAACAAGAGUGAGAGCAUCUUAAUAAUGCCUCGCAGAAGUUUAUGGGGCUGCCCUCUUUGAGACACAUGGUCAGUUGCCUUAGUUUUCUCGACAUUCCAUGCUUAUCUAUCAACUUCCCAGAAGUAUAAUAUUUUAAGUAGAAAUAGUUCAGUCCUGGUGAGCUAUUCUGGGAGAAAGAGGACAAGCUGCUUGUUCUCAGUGCAAUGCACCCUCUUGCUUCUCUGUCGUGGCCCCAUGGUCGUCUAGGUGUGGGAACGAGGGAAAUAAGAAAGGGUUACAUUUUGCUUACUGAACACCAGCAAGGAAGUUGUGAGCUGCCCCAUGGAGAGGCCUAUAUGACAGAGAACUGGUCAACAGCCAACAAAGAAUGGAGGGCCUCCGUGCAGCAGCCCAUGAGGAUCUGAAUCCCACCAAUCACCUUGCAAGGGAGCUUGGAAAAGGAUCCACCUAGGCUUGACACGACUGAUGUCCCGGCUGACUACAGGCUCAUAAGAGGGCUCAGCUAAGCAAUGCCAAAAUUCCUCACCCACAGAAACUGUGAGCCUUGUGAAGAAGGUGCCUUGCUUCCCUUUCACCUUCCAC